GUUAAGAUGGCUGAUAAUAGUAAUAAAUUGUAAAUUUAUUUAUGAAGAUUAAAUUAAUUCUUCUUUUAACA
rnacentral:tRNA from 1 species